UGCCUGUCUGUCUGUUACAUGUUAAAUUUGAUCGAAUAGUUUUCAAUAUAUGAUAAAUAAAUUAUAUCUUUACUUGCCUGAAAUCAACUGAAAUUUAAAAAACAAAAAGUGUAAUUGUUUUUUCAAUUUGAAUUUAUACUUGGUGCCAAAUUUUUAAAUAGUUUCUGCAGUGUUUUCAUUGUACAAAAUAUAUGUACUGCAAAUCAUUUGCAUUUAAUUAAAAUAUGUUUACCUGGGGUUGAUCCAGGAUUUUGCAAGGGAUAGGGUACAGUACUCAGGGAGGGGUCCAAUGUUUAAAAAGGCCCCUAUACAGUAUUCAAAAUGACACUAACAUAUAUGGCAAUGCUCCUUAAAAACAAAGAAAUAAGUUAGUUAUAUUCAUUAACUACACACUGCAUUUUACAUGUCAUUUUGAAGUUUGAGGGGGAUGCACCCCCUGAAUCUGCACCUGUUUACAGUCAAACCUUGUUGUUGCUUUUUUCUCAGUAGCUUGGGAUAUGUUGAGGUCAGAAAAUUGUUCCGUGGCAUAAUUUUCACCAACAUUGAUUAUGCUUAUCUGGAGCUAUUUGAUUCAGUUUUUCAGUGUCAAGAUAAUGGGUUUUUUAUCCAUAUUUUGAAUUAUUUGUAUUUUAAUAACCCAUGAAUCUCCUAGAAUUUAAAUGUCUGUAUUCUGUCUUAUAUAUCAUGUCUAUUUUUCAGAGAUGGUUGUGCUCUGCUGUAACUGAAGUAAUAUUUUUUUAAUUUGUUAUUUUCCCUGUUUCAGAUCUUUCUCUCAUUUACAAGACUAGACUUUUUCUGUUCGCAUGUACUUUUGUAUUCAGUUCAUCAACUAAUAUAAGUAUUGUAUUUGUGCAUGUAUAUAUAGAUCUCACCAGGUCAAAGUUCAAAGUGCACCCAACUUUGAAUGUCGCAUUAAAUAAGAUGACACCUAGCUGCCAUUGGUGAGAUAUGUGACAGGACUUUUAGAGUUCUUGUCAUAAAAUUUUGUUUCAUCUGGCUACUAAAUUUCAAUAAUAUAAUGUGAACUAGUAUCAGUGUACCAGCUAAUAUAGUGCUUGAUACAUGGGGGGAAGGGUCCUUCUAAAAGUAGGAUGACAGUUUUUGUUCAGAACUAGGAUAGUCGAAGACACUUACCGUCAUCUCUGUAACUAGCAUUUUACACACACCAUAUUUUCUGAUUUUCUUAAGGGUGAACUUUCUCAUUCUUGGAGACACAACCUUUAAAUUAAUGUAUUUCAUCUUUAAGGGCAUAUGUUUCUGAUCUUAAUUUCACUGUAGCAUGCUUUCUGAACUAUGCAGGGUUUAUAAUUAACAUUAACUGACUUGUAAUGUAGUAACUUGCAGCUUGGUUUUAUCUAUUUCUCCAACUAAUGUUGUUUUGUGUUUUUUGCAACAUAAUGAUCAAGUUUGUAACUUCUUAGCACGUCUUUUUUGUGUAUUUAUUAAGUCAGAGUGGUAGCUCAGAGUGGUAGCUGGCUUAGUGGUCAACAUGUUUCUGGUUUUUUCUCUGUCUACCAUUUGCCAUAUUGUUGCAGUUAUAAAAUAAGUCAGGGUUACAUUGCUAUAGAUUAAUAUUAGAUAUAACAUGACGCACAGUGUAAGAGAGAGAUUGGGCACAGUGUCAUAUUGUAGGAGAGCGAUUGGGCAGUGUCAUCAGUGUAAGAGAGAGAUUGGGCACAGUGUCGUCAGUGUAGGAGAGAGAUUGGGCACAGUGUCAUCAGUGUAGGAGAGAGAUUGGGCACAGUGUAGAAGAGAGAUUGGGCACAGUGUUGUCAGUGUAGGAGAGAGAUUGGGUACAGUGUCAUCAGUGUAGGAGACAGAUUGGGCACAGUGUCAUCAGUGUAAGAGAGAGAUUGGGCACAGUGUCAUCAUAGUGUAGGAGAGAGAUUGGGCACAGUGUCAUCAGUGUAGGAGAGAGAUUGGGCACAGUGUCAUCACUGUGUAGGAGAGAGAUUGGGCACAGUGCCAUCAGUGUAGGAGAGAGAUUGGGCACAGUGUCAUCACAGUGUAGUAGAGAGAUUGGGCACAGUGUCAUCAGUGUAGGAGAGAGAUUGGGCACAGUGUCAUCAGUGUAGGAGAGAGAUUGGGCACAGUGUCAUCACAGUGUAGUAGAGAGAUUGGGCACAGUGUCAUCACUGUGUAGGAGAGAGAUUGGGCACAGUGCCAUCAGUGUAGGAGAGAGAUUGGGCACAGUGUCAUCACAGUGUAGUAGAGAGAUUGGGCACAGUGUCAUCAGUGUAGGAGAGAGAUUGGGCACAGUGUCAUCAGUGUAGGAGAGAGAUUGGGCACAGUGUCAUCAGUGUAGGAGAGAGAUUGGGCACAGUGUCAUCAGUGUAGGAGAGAGAUUGGGCACAGUGUCAUCACAGUGUAGUAGAGAGAUUGGGCACAGUGUCAUCACUGUGUAGGAGAGAGAUUGGGCACAGUGCCAUCAGUGUAGGAGAGAGAUUGGGCACAGUGUCAUCACAGUGUAGUAGAGAGAUUGGGCACAGUGUCAUCAGUGUAGGAGAGAGAUUGGGCACAGUGUCAUCAAUGUAGGAGAGAGAUUGGGCACAGUGUCAUCACAGUGUAGUAGAGAGAUUGGGCACAGUGUCAUCACUGUGUAGGAGAGAGAUUGGGCACAGUGCCAUCAGUGUAGGAGAGAGAUUGGGCACAGUGUCAUCACAGUGUAGUAGAGAGAUUGGGCACAGUGUCAUCAGUGUAGGAGAGAGAUUGGGCACAGUGUCAUCAGUGUAGGAGAGAGAUUGGGCACAGUGUCAUCAGUGUAGGAGACUUUAUUAUGCUCAGGUGGUUACACACCGGCAAAUGAGAAAUAUGAUACAUAAGCUGUAGUCACAGGAUAGGUUUUACAGGAGACAAUAGUAUAAUAGUUAGAGAUGUAGGAGACUUUAUUAUGCUCAGGUGGUUACACACCGGCAAAUGAGAAAUAUGAUACAUAAGCUGUAGUCACAGGAUAGGUUUUACAGGAGACAAUAGUAUAAUAGUUAGAGAUUAGAUUUACCAUUGUUGGAGAUUAGAUUUACCAGUAUUAGAUAUUAGGAUUACCAAUAGGGGUUACGAAUGUUGGAUGUUAGAAUUGUGAAUGUUGGAGAUUGGGCUUACUGGUACAAGAGUUUAUAAGCUGGUCUUUGCGAGAGAUAAAGUUAUCAUUGGACUAGAACUACUCAUGUUGAACAUUAAGAUUACACUAGUAAUUUGUAUUACUUACCGCAGUACUUAACUGAAACAUUGCUAGUUUUCACAUGUGUGUUUAUAUCUUAUGUCUUUCUUUCUUUAUUAUAGUUUUCAUUAAAACACUAAUCAUUUUGUGUUUGGACAGAACUGUCACCAAAUUGGUUAUAUAUACUUAUCCUAUAUCAUAAAUACAUAAUGUUUUUAAAGAUUUAAUGUCAGCUUCUGGCUUUAAUGGCAGAUUCUGUUUUUUUAAAAUGUUUUUUGAUGGAUUUUUAAUGUGUCAUUCGUUAUUUUUUCAUACAUGUAGAAUGGAAGAGUUGUUUUUCAAACUUACAUGUACGAUAUAUACACAUAUAUAUAAUUAAUACUCAUGUUCAGAGUUAAAAAUAGAGAUUAACUGUAGGUCCAUUAUUCCAAAAGGUGAUCAUAAUAUUUCUUGGCAUUUGUCCAGUUAUUUCCUGAACAGGAAUGGAACAUGGUCUUAACUUCAGGGGUGUAAGCUGGGGGUAGGGUUGGGGGUGGGGGGGGGGGGUGGACAAACAUCCCCUCUGAGGUUAAAACAGUUUUGUUGUACAAAUAUUAUGUCAUUCAUAUAGAUAUCCAGGGAAAAUGUUGACAGAGGAGUCCACUAGGUUCAUAUUUAAACCCCUCCUCCACCCCCACCCCCCACCCCACACACACAACACAUACACACACAGUCCAGUAGAGUCUGCAUGAGUACUCAAGUACUCAAGUACUCAAGCACGGGUUGAGUCUAGCAAGACUAGAGUCCAUUUAAAGGACUCGAGUAUCCGUACAAGGUGGAAUCUUUCCGUCACAACACUGAACAUAUCAACCGGUUUCUAAAUGCAAUACAAUGGCAUGAUUUGACAUCCAUGUUCAGCGCUGGAAUUAAGAUGCAUAAUGUUAUUUUACUUUAUUCCUUUGUCUGAUCAUCAUCUGAUGUAAGUGUCGGGUACUCGGGUCCGGGUUGAGUUUGACCCUCGAGUACUCGAGUCCACUAUGUCGGACUCAUGGAGGCCCAACAGUCCAGAGGAUGCUAAGCACCUGAACUUUGGGGUUAAGGAUAAUGUUAGAGUUAGGACUUUUGGGUGGAGUAUAGUGCCGUUUAAUUAGUAGACCAAUGGAGUAGUGGACCUUCAGAAUAUAGACGUACAGCCCAUGUAGUUGGUUGUAACCUAUGCCAAACUGUUUGCAAAUAAUGCAUUUAUUACUGACAAAAUUGUGCUGUUUUUUUAAUUCUAAAAUGUUGCCAUGUUGCUUUUUUAAUACUAGUCAGUAUGUAUCAUGUAUUUCAUUUAUAAUUUAUUAUCAUGGUUAUGCAUACUUAAUACUAGUCAGUGUGUACAGUACAUGAGUCAACUGUAAAGUCAACUAGUAACCCAUAGAUGGUUUGUUAGGCUAAUAAUUACUAGAGAAAGGAAAGGAAUGUUUGUUUAAAGACACCUCACUGUAUAUUAAAAAAAAAAAUCCUCAUAAUGUAUAUCCCUAUAGUAGUUGCCCCACCUGAACUCAACAGCCCAGUGACCUUUAAUAGUUGCAGGUCUUCUAGAUGAUGGUAGCCCUACUCCCAUGGCUAGUGAUAUUCAAUGUUGGGCUAGUAAAUAACUAGUAUUGCCAUGCCCGACAGCUAGUGAAUUUUUGUUAUCAAUUUUUUUAGUUAAAUAUGGAUAUCCUGCUCCCAACCCAACCCCCAAUGUUAGUGUUAAGCUCUAUCACUGAUCCCAUGGCUAGUGGAUUUUAUGUAAAUUCUAGAAGCCCUGAGUUAAUUCAUCGAAUAUUUGUGUCGGACUAUUCACACCACUGGUAUAUCCAGGUAGGAGGGUGACCGUGGAGACCUCAUAUCACACUUAGAGACAAUGUGGACCCAUCCACCCACACCUCAAUAUGCAAUCCUGGCUAUACCAGUGAUCCACACAAUCAAUGUGACUAGCUGAAAACCAUCUAGCCAACCACCUAUGCCUACUUGACAUUAUAGUUGGUUUGUAUGUUGUAUAUUUAUGAAUACUAGUCACUGUACAAGUAUUUAUGGAUAGUGAAUUAUUUUAUAAUACACAAGCGGUUUAGAUAUACAUGUAAUAUAAAUCACUUGUUAUGUGUUAAAUUGUUACAUUAUAAAAUUGAGUUGUGAGAUAUUACUGUAUUAUAUUGUUAUGUGUUUUGUGAUUUUAUUGCUAAGACUGCCUGCUUUUUUUUUUUUUUGGGGGGGGGGGAGGGGGGGUUUCUAUUAGUUUGUCAGUGGCAGAUCCAGAAAAUCCAUUUAAGGGGCCCAAAUGACAUGAGGCAGAAUGCCAUGGGAACUGUGGGGGUGGUUUGGAGGGAGAUCGUAAUUUUUUUAAAAAUAAUAUACAAUAAAAUUAUAAUUGUCGCAAAAUUUUGGUGGGGGGGAGGGGGGGGUUCUAUUAGUUUGUCAGUGGCAGAUCCAGAAAAUCCAUUUAAGGGGCCCAAAUGACAUGAGGCAGAAUGCCAUGGGAACUGUGGGGGUGGUUUGGAGGGAGAUCGUAAUUUUUUUAAAAAUAAUAUACAAUAAAAUUAUAAUUGUCGCAAAAUUUUGGUGGGCCAGACCCCUGCCCCCCCCUCCCCUCCCCCCAAUCCAUCUCUAGAUCCACCUGUUUGUAUCUACCCCAUGAAAUCCAUAGACAUAACCAAACACAUUUUUCCAGAUAACUUAUUCUAAUUUUAAUAUUUAUCUUUCAGUUGUUAAAUUAGAAUUAAAUGUUAAAAUGUUUUUUUCUUAUGAAACACUUUUGUUGUAGAAAAUUGCAUACACAAAAAUCUAUAGUAUAGUAUGUGUGUGGAGUUAGGUGGGGCUUUGUGGUAACAACAUGACAGUUGUGCAAAGAAAAAUGAUCCAAAAUAUACCCAAAAUAUGUUUAUUUACAAAACAGUUAAUAUUCAAAAUAUUUAUGUUAUCUGAAUAUCAAAUGUUUACCUUUUGUUACAUUAUUGAAGACAUCUAUUUCUUAAAAAUAUCGGACACUUUGUUGUGAAAUGAAAUUUAGGUAUUUGCUAAAAAAUAACAUCAAACUGUAUAUUAAAGUCAUUGGUGUAUUUAUCAUUUAUGCAGUUUGCAUGAAAUAUAGCUUUUAAAAGUUGUGGAAAUGCUACAGAAACAUCUUUCGAUUGCUUCAUUGUCAAUGUUUAAUGAGGCUUGUAAUAAUCAAAGUUGAAGUCAUUUCCUCAUGAUUUCUGCUUCCAGGUUCUUAUUGUAACUAGUAGUCUUCCUAAUGUAUGUGUUUUACAUAAACUAUCCCUAUUAUCAGUGUCUGCAUAACUUAAUUAUGUUAAUAUAUUUAACAUAAAUGUUGUUUUAUUUGGGUCAGUGAAAAAAGUGCCAGUAUAUAACAUGUUUAUGAUGAAAAUGUAUAAUUUUUCUCAAGAUUCAAAUAGUAAUGUGUCUUUAUAUAAUGUAACUUUAUAGAUCUUUUAUUCAAAACAUAAACAUGUUAAUAAAACAUUUUAAAAGGAA